rnacentral:lncRNA from 1 species
GUGCGGCGUGGCGGAGAGCCGCCGCGUGGCCAGGAUGGGCCUCGGCAUUGACCUGGGCGGCGGGCAGGGCGCCGGGCUCGGCCUCGGGCUUGGUCUCGGCAUCGGGGCGGGCACGGGAGGGGUGUCCGCGUCCGGAUCAGGCUCCGGCUCCGGCUCCGUGGCUGGAGCGGGCUCGACCUCUGCGUCGAGAUCCGGCUCGGUUUCUGUCGGAGGGGCCAGCUCGUCCGCUGGGUCCAGUGCCGGAUCGGCGGGGUCUGGAGCAGGGUCAUCGGCCGGGUCGGGG